AUUUGGAAUUCGGAAUUAGCCUUGCAGACUCACCCCAUCGAGACUUAUGACUCAUGACUCAAGUGAUCCUGUGGCCCCGCCCAGAGGUGGACUCAGCACACAAGGAAUGUUUUCCUAUUAUUUCAUCCCCAACCAAUCAGCAGCAUCCAUUCCCUACCCCUUGCCCACUAAAUUGUCCAUAAAAACCUCUAACCUCAGAGCCUUCAGGAAGAUUGAUUUGAGUGACAACUCCAGUUCUCCUGCAUAGGCUGGUCUUGAAUCAGUUAAACUCUUUUUCUACUGCGAUGCCCUGGUCUCAGUGAAAUGAUUUUGUCUGUGCAGUGAGCAGGAAGAACCUGCUGGAUGAUUACAAUAUGAAAAGUGAGAGAAAAUGAAGGACUGAGAGGGUCAGCCAUUUCCAAAACAAUGAGAAAGAGCUUUUUUUUUUUUUUUUUUUGGCAAAAGAACACAAGUAUGCAAGUAGGCAAGUAAAAUUAUAUGAAUAAAUUAUAUGAAUACAAUUUAAUAUGACAUUAU
rnacentral:lncRNA from 10 species